UACGGGGGGGAGCAAGCGUUGUUCGGAUUUACUGGGCGUAAAGGGCGCGUAGGCGGUCAGCCACAAGUCAGUUUGUGAAAUCUCCGGGCUUAACUCGGAAAGGUCAACUGAUACUGUGCGACUAGAGUGCAGAAGGGGCAACUGGAUUCUCGGUGUAGCGGUGAAAUGCGUAGAUAUCGAGAGGAACACCUGCGGCGAAGGCGGGUUGCUGGGCUGACACUGACGCUGAUGCGCGAAAGCCAGGGGAGCGAACGGG
rnacentral:rRNA from 1 species